rnacentral:rRNA from 1 species
UACGUAGGGGGCUAGCGUUGUCCGGAAUCAUUGGGCGUAAAGAGCGCGUAGGCGGCUAGAUAAGUCCGGUGUGAAAGUCACAGGCUCAACCUGUGAAUGCCGCUGGAAACUGUCUGGCUAGAGUCCGGAAGGGGCGAGUGGAAUUCCUGGUGUAGCGGUGAAAUGCGCAGAUAUCAGGAGGAACACCAAUGGCGAAGGCAGCUCGCUGGGACGGUACUGACGCUGAGGCACGAAAGCCAGGGGAGCGAACGGG